CCACGAGGCAGGGGAACCGCUGCCGAGUACUUCGGUGCUUACGGUAGAGGAAAGUCGGGACUCCACGGGCCGCGUGCUGGGUAACGCCCAGUGGGGGAAACCCCAGGCAAGUGCCACAGAAACAAUACCGCCGUUCGUAAAGGCAGUCGUUCGCGGCCGCUGAACGGUAAGGGUGGAACGGUGGGGUAAGAGCCCACCAGUGUCGGCGGUGACGCCGGCAGCUCGGUAAACCCCACGUGGAGCAAGGCCAAAUAGGGGAAUUCGGGGAGGCCCGCCCCGUCCCUGGGUAGGCCGCAUGAGGCGACGGGUAACCGCCGUCCCAGAUGCAUGGUUCCCACUCCGGUUCGCCGGGGCAACAGGAUCCCGCUUACUCGCCUCGUGGACCG
rnacentral:RNase_P_RNA from 1 species